rnacentral:piRNA from 6 species
ACUAAAGAUUUCCGUGGAGAGGAACA